AGCGAACGCUGGCGGCAGGCCUAACACAUGCAAGUCGAACGAACUCUUCGGAGUUAGUGGCGGACGGGUGAGUAACACGUGGGAACGUGCCUUUUGGUUCGGAAUAACUCAGGGAAACUUGUGCUAAUACCGAAUGUGCCCUUCGGGGGAAAGAUUUAUCGCCAUUAGAGCGGCCCGCGUCUGAUUAGCUAGUUGGUGAGGUAACGGCUCACCAAGGCGACGAUCAGUAGCUGGUCUGAGAGGAUGACCAGCCACACUGGGACUGAGACACGGCCCAGACUCCUACGGGAGGCAGCAGUGGGGACUCUUGCGCAAUGAGCGAAAGCCUGACGCAGCCAUGCCGCGUGAAUGAUGAAGGUCUUAGGAUUGUAAAAUUCUUUCACCGGGGACGAUAAUGACGGUACCCGGAGAAGAAGCCCCGGCUAACUUCGUG
rnacentral:rRNA from 1 species